AAAAAAAAAAAAAAAAAAAAGUAUCAUUUCAAAAGUGGUUGAAAAAGCAGUUUAAAAAGAAUUUGUUUAAUUAUUUUAAUGUUCUCGUUACCAAAAUUUAUCAAAUUUAGUUUUAAAUUUUUUUUAAUACUCUCUAAUUAAUAUAUUUAAAAAAUACUUUUCUCGGUAACAGCAGCUCCAGAGAUGACAAACAGACCUAUAAUGUGGAAAAACAAAAAUUAACAUUGAACACCCAUUUAGGUUAGCAAAUACGGAGGGACCAAAUCUGAAAUUGGAUUCCCUCAGGCUCUAAUACUAAACUAAAAUUUUUCAACAAAGCCCUUUCCAGUUUCCAGCAUUAAUCUUGCAAAUGAGAAAUUAACUAAGGGAAUGAUUAUUAUUAUUAAACAAAUAUGAUUCCACCAUUUUUUACAUUACGG
rnacentral:misc_RNA from 1 species